CUAUAAUCGCAGCAAUAUCGCAGCAAUCGGGAGGCUGAGGCAGGAGUGCAGUGAGUUCAAGGCCACCUGGAAGUGCCUUGCCUGUCAGUCUCUAAACCAGGAUUAUCCCGCUUCCAUGGAGUAUUGCUGGAGGAGCAGAUCUGAACAGUGAUCUUUUUGGAGGGAUGGCUGGGGAUUGAGCUUGGACCUUGAUAUACUACACAUGUGCUCUGUUGAGCUCACCCAGCUGUCAUCACUGGGCCAGGAGAGGAAGAGAGAAGGACAGCUUCUUCCAGGACCUGCUGGACUCUCCCAGAAUUUAGAAGAUCCCAGGACAAGGCCACAAGCCAUGUACCCAGUCCUGGACCCAGACAUCACAUAGCAAAGGGUAUUUUUUGCAGAGCUCAGGCCACAUUUACAAGAGAACAGUCACACAGUCUGACUGUGAAGGCCAAGUGUCCAUGGUACCUGCCUAGCUGUGCUGAGAACACAGCCAUCUUCCAGCACCCGGGGCUGACUCACAGCUGCUGGGGGGACACCUCCUGCCAACUCCACUGCCUGUGUUCACAUUGCCUGGGAGGAUGCUGUGUGUAUAAAGGCUGUUAGAGCUGGGGUCCAAGCAACCCAUUUUACAGAUGAGGAAACUGAGCCUUAGCAAGGUUAAAUAAUUUGGUUGAGGCCCCAUAACUAUCGUUGCCAGAUGCUUGCAGCUAUGCAACCCUGAAGCCUGAGCUUUUAACUUCCACUCUGCAAAACUUGAUGGGAGCCAGGGCUGGGGAUUUAGUUCAGCGGCAUAAGCCUGCCUUGCAAGGGUGCGGUCAUGAGUUCAAUCCCUGGUACUGAUAAAAAAGAAAAAAAAAAAACUUGAUGGGAGUCAAACUGCUAGACAGUCAGGAAAGGGGAAUGGCUGGAAGGAGGACAGGGACCCUGGCCCUGAGGACCUUCCCCACCCAGUCUCUCCCCACCCCACUGUUUCUGCAAUAGCGCCUUUGCAUGUCCUUCCCCUAAUUAAGACCCUAAUGCCCUGGGUGUGGUGAUGCAAACCUAGAAUCAUACCUACUUGGGAGGCCAAAGCAGGAAGACCCCAAAUUGUGCUCCACACCAGGCGAUUUAGUGACUUAAUGAAACACCUAGUCAGAACACAACAAAACAAAACCCAAAAGGUACAAAGCACUGAGCUGGGCCUGGUGGCAUAUGCCUCUAAUCCCAACUCCUCAGAGGACCAAUUUAGUGGGACUUUUCCUCCAAAAAUAAAUUAAUUAAUUAAAAGGUAGGAGAGCUAGGGCUUUAGCUUAGUGGCAGAAUACCCGAGUUCAAUCCUCAGUACCACAAAAAUGGGAAGGAAGCAGGGUGAGGGAGAGUAAGGGAGAGAGAAAUAAACUGAGGCAAGAUGUGGUCCCUGCCAGCAUGGGAGAUUAUCAUGGUGCAUGGCUCUCCUGGCUCACUGCAUAUGCCCGUUGGGGUUGAGAGGGCCUGGGUGUACCCCAGACCCUUUGUUAACGUAGCUGUGUGUGACUCUGUACAGAGGACCUGGCUUUAGGGACCUGCUCUGUGGCUGCACAAUGGGGUCUGCCUAUUGUGCAUUGCUGCAGGCCAUGGCUGGAUGCCGAGGGCUUGGACCCAAUGCCAGGCCCAUGGUAAGCAUGUGGUGCGUGGCAGAGCUGCCCAAAUGUGCGGCAUGUGUACUCGUGACAGCUGCAUUUUCGAGAUCUCCGAGGCCUUAGCAGCCUCGGAUUCCUGUUCUUUUCAUCGGGCCACACUCCUCUGAUGGAGAAAAAUGCAGAUUUUGGAGGUAGUAAUGUA